GGUCCAAUGGUUGCUGUUGGUUACACGUGGUACUUAUAAGAAUAGGCUAUGCCGAAGUCGGGAGUUCGAUCCUCCCAUGAAGCA
rnacentral:tRNA from 1 species